AUAAACAGAUAUUUGUUGUAUAGAUGACCUUAAUAGACAGGUGUUUGUUUACAGGUGGGCUUUAUAAACAGAUAUUUGUUGUAUAGGUGACCUUAAUAGACAGGUGUUUGUUUACAGGUGGGCUUUAUAAACAGAUAUUUGUUGUAUAGGUGACCUUAAUAGACAGGUGUUUGUUUACAGGUGGGCUUUAUAAACAGAUAUUUGUUGUAUAGGUGACCUUUACAGACAGGUGUUUGUUUACAGGUGGGCUUUAUAAACAGAUAUUUGUUGUAUAGGUGACCUUUACAGACAGGUGUUUGUUUACAGGUG